rnacentral:lncRNA from 1 species
UUAGCAAUCCGUGUUCCCCUAAGGGUUUCUAUCCACUGCGGCUGGUUUAGUUGGCGAUUUUGAUACUAGAUGGCUUUAGUUUUUUGUUAGUAUUUUUGUCACACUAGAUGGCUUUAGCGAUUGUUUUCACACUAGGUGGCUAAAGCUAAUGAAGUUUUCACACUAGGUGGCUAAUCAAGCCAAUCAAUCAAGACAAAUACAAAAAUUCUUUUUAUGUUGAAGGAUGCGUGUAUAAAUGCAAAAAAGUUCACUUCGAUUUUGGAAUGAUAGUUUGAAUAGAAUCACUGUGUGCUGUGUAUUUGCUAGUGAUAAUCGACUUCCAUUUUGAAGCGACUGUUAGCAGUUUAGCCCAUGCGCCAUGGUCUAAAUGGUCUAAAUGGUGUCAAAUAAGUCAAGGAGGAAGGAAACCUAUAAAGAUACAACAAGGGAACCUAUCAUAGAUGAUGGAAGGAAGGGAACCUCUACAGAUACAAUGAGGGAACCUAUUAGAUGAUGGAUUACUGAAAUCAUUGCAAAUUCGCACGUAUGGUCGAAAAAUUCCAAUCAUCCAUCCAAAAGUUAUUCCAAUUAGAUUACCCACAGAUGACAGAAUGCAAUUCGCCAAUUAAUUCACUUCUCUAAAGAAAGAAAAGAAAAAAAAUCACAGUGUUAAUGGCUUACUGCUGGAACCGGUUGAACUUCGCACGUAUAGUCGAAAGACACAAUCAACAAGUCACCCACAAUUUAUUCCAAUUAGGUUUACUCGAACCACUUCAACUUCGAACGUAUGGUCGUGAAACACAAUCAACAAUUCACUCAAAAAUUAUUCCAACUAGACUACCGUCAGAAUGUGAUGUGUCAACGAAUUCCAUUGAUUACGAUCCAAGUUUACCCUUUGAACGACAGGGGAAAACCAACGAAGUUAAAAGAAAACUACAUCAUGGUGUUACCGUUUACGUGUCAAUAACAUUGCGUGUUUUUAUGACUCACAAUAACAUGGAUCCUAAAGAUUGAUUUUCCCAAUUCACUAAAAAGAAAUUUGAAAACAAGAAAUCAAUCUUCAAAAAGAAUAUAGAACAAUCGUCUUAAUUCAAUAAACAAGAUAAACCUAUCCCCAUUACUUACUGACUUUCUUCAUUUUAA